AGUGGCGGACGGGUGAGUAACACGUAAGAAUUUGCCUUUAGGAGGGGGACAACAACUGGAAACGGUUGCUAAUACCCCAUAUGCUUUCGAGUGAAACGGAUUUUUCCGCCUAAAGAGAAGCUUGCGGCUGAUUAGCUUGUUGGUGAGGUAAUGGCUCACCAAGGCGACGAUCAGUAUCUGGUUUGAGAGGACGAUCAGACACACUGGAACUGAGACACGGUCCAGACUCCUACGGGAGGCAGCAGUAGGGAAUUUUCCGCAAUGGGCGAAAGCCUGACGGAGCAAUACCGCGUGAGGGAUGACGGCCUAUGGGUUGUAAACCUCUUUUUUCAGGGAGGAAUCAAAUGACGUGUACCUGAAGAAUAAGCAUCGGCUAACUCCGUGCCAGCAGCCGCGGUAAGACGGGGGAUGCAAGUGUUAUCCGGAAUCACUGGGCGUAAAGCGUCUGUAGGUGGUCAAAUAAGUCAACUGUUAAAUCUUGAGGCUCAACCUCAAAAUCGCAGUCGAAACUAUUAGACUAGAGUAUAGUAGGGGUAAAGGGAAUUUCCAGUGGAGCGGUGAAAUGCGUAGAGAUUGGAAAGAACACCGAUGGCGAAGGCACUUUACUGGGCUAUUACUAACACUCAGAGACGAAAGCUAGGGUAGCAAGUGGGAUUAGAUACCCCAGUAGUCCUAGCCGUAAACAAUGGAUACUAGAUGU
rnacentral:rRNA from 1 species